rnacentral:misc_RNA from 1 species
AUAUAUACAACACAAUAAAACCUACGUUCGAAACAAAAUCCAGAAACCUUCAACUAAUAAAGAACACUUUCCACUCCAUAUCAAGCUAACCGGGUUAUUUUUUAGGUAACACAAUUCCAAAUCAGGCGUUGCUAGCUGUGGUUCUUGAAGUCCCGGCUUGGCUGUUCCUUUCCUGCUGUGGUACUCUCAUUGACCUCAGCUUGGAGGCCGAAGACCUGUACGUGUGUACCAAUGGCUGCUGUUCUUCUUCUUCUUCCUCUCCUCCAUCUGGGUCAUCG